rnacentral:lncRNA from 1 species
UGGAGAGCAGGAGUUCCUGGCUUGACCAUAGUUCAUACAGAUUCUGCUGAUGGAGCCUAGGCUGAAAGUGACCUCACAUCAUGCGAGCCAGCAGCUCAACUUGGCUCUGCGAGGAGAAUGAUGCCAGGUGGUUCUCACAAUGUGUCCAAGAGGACCUGAAUGUUACACUGGAUGCCAGCCAUAGAGCUGUAUGCAGUCUGUGGAGAGCAGUAGUGCCCGGCCUGACCAUUGUUUGUACAGAUUUUUCCUGAUUUAGUCUAGCCUGACAGUGACCUCACAUUAUGCUAGCCGACAGCUCAAGGUCACUCUGCAAGGAGAACGAUGCCAAGUGGUUCGCACAAUGUGUCCAAGAGGAACUGAAUGUUGCACUGGAUGCCAGCCGUGUGAGUGCAGAUUACGUAGUGGCAAAAUGUACCUCAACAGU